rnacentral:rRNA from 1 species
AACGUAGGAGACGAACGUUAUCCGGAGUUACUGGGCGUAAAGGGCGUGUAGGCGGUUUGUUAAGUCUGGCGUGAAAGCUCUCGGCUAAAACCGGGGGAGGUCGUUGGAUACUGGCGAACUAGAGGAUGGUAGAGGCGUGUGGAAUUCCGGGUGUAGUGGUGAAAUGCGUAGAUAUCUGGAGGAAUACCGGUGGCGAAGGCGGCAUCCUGGACCGGCAUUGACGCUGAGGAGCGAAAGCCAGGGGAGCAAAGCGGG